GUCUGACUAACUCUUUUCGAAUGUAGACAAUAAGGGAGGAGGAGGAAGCUUCUGCCCAUUUGCCGCCUGUUUGUGCAUAUGUUUGAAGUGCCAUACGUGGGAAAUAUAACCCUUAACCCUUAGCCUGGAUGUGAAGUGUGAUGCACACUUAACGUUAGGUUCGUUCAUUCCAUUCACGUCGGUCAAUUCUAUGGAUUCGAAAGACGUAAGCCAAAACGAAAGAGUUUCCCGGUAGGCUUCAGUUGGUUCGUUCGAACUAAUUUACGUGCGGAUGGCGCUCUAUCGUUCGAUUUUCACGGUAGGGC